rnacentral:tRNA from 1 species
GUACGGGUAGAUUAUUGGUUUAAAUCGUUAGGCUGUUAACCUUAGGAAGGCUUUUGAGCUCUCGGACG